GAUUCUGCCCUACGGGGAAGGAUGAGAAGCUUCGACUAAGGUUCGACUCGAGCGCCAGCGAGAGAACGUUGCUGCAGGCAACGGCCCGAAGGGCGAGGAGCGAUAGCGACGAGUUAUCCUUCCCCCACCACCA
rnacentral:sRNA from 1 species